UUGGAUGAGUUGCGAACGGGUGAGUAACGCGUAGGUAACCUGCCUUGUAGCGGGGGACAACUAUUGGAAACGAUAGCUAAUACCGCAUAACAAUGGGUGACACAUGUCAUUUAUUUGAAAGGGGCAAUUGCUCCACUACAAGAUGGACCUGCGUUGUAUUAGCUAGUAGGUGAGGUAACGGCUCACCUAGGCGACGAUACAUAGCCGACCUGAGAGGGUGAUCGGCCACACUGGGACUGAGACACGGCCCAGACUCCUACGGGAGGCAGCAGUAGGGAAUCUUCGGCAAUGGGGGCAACCCUGACCGAGCAACGCCGCGUGAGUGAAGAAGGUUUUCGGAUCGUAAAGCUCUGUUGUAAGUCAAGAACGAGUGUGAGAGUGGAAAGUUCACACUGUGACGGUAGCUUACCAGAAAGGGACGGCUAACUACGUGCCAGCAGCCGCGGUAAUACGUAGGUCCCGAGCGUUGUCCGGAUUUAUUGGGCGUAAAGCGAGCGCAGGCGGUUUGAUAAGUCUGAAGUUAAAGGCUGUGGCUCAACCAUAGUUCGCUUUGGAAACUGUCAAACUUGAGUGCAGAAGGGGAGAGUGGAAUUCCAUGUGUAGCGGUGAAAUGCGUAGAU
rnacentral:rRNA from 1 species